UGCAUCUGAGCUUAACUGCAAGUGGGGGUUGUGGGUUCAACUCCCUGACCCUUUCCUAAGGAAACCAAGAAAGAAAGAAAGAAAGAAAACACUUUGAUUUCAACUUUAAACAAAUGGGUGCAAAAAAUGUAUGAAUCUUAUAUUGUAUAAUAACAACUCUUUGACAUCCGAGCAACUUUGAAAUAUGCAGAGGUGCAAAAUAUAUGGAUGCAACCUCCUUCAUAGCUAACGAGGGUAUAAUUCAGUAAUCGAGGCUUCAUUUAUUGAUGAAGGGAGAGUUCUGUUGCUGGCCUGUGAAGACUUGGUUGUCCUUGAAGCGCCUAAUGAGGGUGAAAUAUCUGAUUCAGUACCGCUGAGCGCAAAAAGUGCUGGUUGUGAGGGUAAAGGAAGAGUGUGAGAAUGGCUGCUUAGCAUGAGAACAAUGGAAGCCAUGGAUGGCCUCUCUGAUAUAUUUUCUUGAACGCAGAGUAACCCAAUGUGUAUGCAUCUCAUCAUUUCAGUUCUCGAACCAGUACUCAAAUUGGGAUCUAUGAGAUUCAAGGAUGUUCCCUCCCUCCAGUUUUUCCAUGCAUAGCUCAAAAGGUCCUCCAGGUUUUCCUCAUUGCAGAAACAACUAUUUCUUUUGCCACUCACAAUCUCCAAAACUAGCACACCAAAGCUAUACACAUCAGACUUAAAUGAGAACUGUCCAUGCAUUGCAUACUCUGGAGCCAUGUAUCCAAAAGUCCCCACAAUUCUACUUGUAUUGGCAUGAGUUUGAUCCAUCAUAAACAACCUUGCCAUACCAAAAUCUGAAAUUUUAGGGUUCAUAUUUGCAUCUAAUAAAAUGUUACUAGCUUUAAGGUCACGAUGAAUAAUUCGAAGCCGAGAAUCCUCAUGAAGAUAAAGAAGCCCUCUAGCAAUGCCACCAAUGAUUUUGUAGCGCUUUUCCCAGUCCAAAUGAACACACCUUAGAGGAUCAAAUAUGAAAUGAUCAAGGCUGGCAUUAGGCACAAACUCAUAGAUGAGAAGCUUUUCUUUUCCUUCCAAGCAGAAACCAAGAAGCCUAACCAAAUUUCGGUGUUGAAGCUUGGCCAACAACAGUACUUCAUUUUUAAACUCUGCAUCUCCUUGUUGAGAAUCCAUAGAAAGCCUUUUGACCGCUAUAUCUUGCUCGUUGGGAAGUGAACCCUUGUAAACAGAACCAAAUCCACCUACUCCAAGCUUAUUUUCCUCGGAAAAAUUAUCUGUUGCAGCUCGAAUAGUCUCAAGGUCGAAUUGCAAGGAUUCCACACUUAUUAUUUCAUCCACAGUUUCAACUCUUUCUUUUGGCUUCCGAACUCUUAGAUAAAUAAUUAUGCAGAUGAUAAGUGUGACAACGCUUACAGUUAGAACGAGAACGAUAAUGAUCCUUCUCCUCUUCUUUCCUUCUGAAGGCGGAGGAGACACCUGUGG
rnacentral:misc_RNA from 1 species